CAGUCGAGCGGAACGAUGGGAGCUUGCUCCCAGGCGUCGAGCGGCGAACGGGUGAGUAACGCGUAGGAAUCUGCCUGGUAGAGGGGGAUAGCUCGGGGAAACUCGAAUUAAUACCGCAUACGCCCUACGGGGGAAAGCAGGGGAUCUUCGGACCUUGCGCUAUCAGAUGAGCCUGCGUCGGAUUAGCUAGUUGGUGGGGUAAAGGCCCACCAAGGCGACGAUCCGUAACUGGUCUGAGAGGAUGAUCAGUCACACCGGAACUGAGACACGGUCCGGACUCCUACGGGAGGCAGCAGUGGGGAAUAUUGGACAAUGGGGGCAACCCUGAUCCAGCCAUGCCGCGUGUGUGAAGAAGGCCUUCGGGUUGUAAAGCACUUUAAGCAGGUAGGAAAGGGGCAGGACUAAUAAUCCUGUCAGUUGACGUUACCUGCAGAAUAAGCACCGGCUAACUUCGUGCCAGCAGCCGCGGUAAUACGAAGGGUGCAAGCGUUAAUCGGAAUUACUGGGCGUAAAGCGCGCGUAGGCGGUUUGGUUAGUUGGAUGUGAAAGCCCAGGGCUCAACCUUGGAACUGCAUCCAAUACUGCCAGGCUAGAGUACGGAGAGGGGGGUAGAAUUUCCACGUGUAGCGGUGAAA
rnacentral:rRNA from 1 species